AGCUUUGCGCAGUGGCAGUAUCAUAGCCAAUGAGGUUUAUCCAAGGCGCGAUUAUUGCUCAUUCAAAAAUAAAAUACAGAAGUAAAAAAAGAUUGCAGAGCAGUAGAUAUAAUAAUUUGUAAAUUACAUAAAACAUUGCAUAUGU